rnacentral:rRNA from 1 species
UACGGGGGGAGCAAGCGUUGUUCGGAUUUACUGGGCGUAAAGGGCGCGUAGGCGGUCGUGACAAGUCACUUGUGAAAUCUCCGGGCUUAACUCGGAACGGUCAAGUGAUACUGUCGGACUAGAGUACAGAAGGGGCAACUGGAAUUCUCGGUGUAGCGGUGAAAUGCGUAGAUAUCGAGAGGAACACCUGCGGCGAAGGCGGGUUGCUGGGCUGAUACUGACGCUGAGGCGCGAAAGCCAGGGGGAGCGAACGGGG